CUAGUAGUACAGCCGCUGCCGUUGCCGUUGCCGCUGCUGCUGUUGCUGUUGCUGUUGCUGCUGUAGCGCGCUCCAAGGACAUGGAGAUGGAUAUGGACACAGGGACACAGUCUGACAGUCAUCCGUCUCUCAGACUUAGACCCGGCGCCCCAUUAGGCGUGUGCAUAGCUUUUGUCUUUGCUGUCAUUAUCAACACCGCCGCUUUUGCGUAUUCAUUUUGUUGUGUCACGCUUAGAUGUACAGGGUAUACGGAAACCGCACACACAGCAGCAAAAUAUGCAUUCCUCAUAUGUUAUCCCUUACUCUGAUCGGUAAUUUAAAAGCAAAUCCAAAGACUAAUAUCUACAGCUGAAACUGGCUCUGGCUUAGCAACCAAUGCAUUCCACAAGAGUCUGUAGCCUCAGUCAAUACAACUUGCAAAAGGCAAGAGGCGCCCUUCUUGUGCAGCAUUUACCAAUACCAGUGUCAAGGAGGAGUCCUUUGGCUGCUGGGUCGGCAGUAGGAGCAGCAGUUCAGCCGAGCAGCCACUUGGCAAUGACGAUUGCAAAUAUUGCCUGGCCAACUAGUGCAUAUGGUAUUGUUUAAAUGAUGAGCCGCAAAAGUGCUUUAAUAUAUAUGCUUGCUUUUAAAACACACAUGUACAUAUAAAGUGCCCAGCUGCAUUUCUCUUAAGCAUGAUAUAAACAGCGAAGAGAUAAUAUACCAAACAAUCAUAGCCUAUCUCCAAUAUUGUACUAUGAUUAUUUCCUAAAAAUAAUACUAAAUAACGGAUCAAAGACACGGACAAACAAAGAAAAUAUUGAUAUUACUUGACUCUAUGAGAAUUGAAUAUACGGGUGUGCGUGACAAGCUGAUUAUUCUAAAUUUGAACACAGCUUUAUUAUACCCUGCGUCAUAGCUUAAAAAACAUACGAGUUAAGUUCACAUAGUAAAUUAAAAAAGAAGGUACAAGUUCUAGCGGAAUGAGUUGCUGAAUAGAAAUUAAGAUGUGCAUGUAGAAGUAUAUAGUCAAGUUAUUUCGUUUUCCA